AGCGAACGCUGGCGGCAGGCCUAACACAUGCAAGUCGAACGGACCCUUCGGGGUUAGUGGCGGACGGGUGAGUAACACGUGGGAACGUGCCUUUAGGUUCGGAAUAGCUCCUGGAAACGGGUGGUAAUGCCGAAUGUGCCCUUCGGGGGAAAGAUUUAUCGCCUUUAGAGCGGCCCGCGUCUGACUAGCUAGUUGGUGAGGUAACGGCUCACCAAGGCGACGAUCAGUAGCUGGUCUGAGAGGAUGACCAGCCACACUGGGACUGAGACACGGCCCAGACUCCUACGGGAGGCAGCAGUGGGGAAUCUUGCGCAAUGGGCGAAAGCCUGACGCAGCCGUGCCGCGUGAAUGAUGAAGGUCUUAGGAUUGUAAAAUUCUUUCACCGGGGACGAUAAUGACGGUACCCGGAGAAGAAGCCCCGGCUAACUUCGUGCCAGCCGCCGCGGUAA
rnacentral:rRNA from 1 species